rnacentral:lncRNA from 1 species
AGUGGGCGUGCAGGAGAAGCUGUAGGUCAGGAGGUAGAGUUGGCAGUGGGCGUGCAGGAGAAGCUGUAGGUCGGAGAGGUAGAGUUGGCAGUGGGCGUGCAGGAGAAGCUGUAGGUCGGAGAGGUAGAGGUGGCAGUGGGCGUGCAGGAGAAGCUGUAGGUCGGGAGGUAGAGGUGGCAGUGGGCGUGCAGGAGAAGCUGUAGGUCAGAGUGGAGAGGUGGCAGUGGGCGUGCAGGAGAAGGUGUAGGUCAGGGGGUAGAGGUGGCAGUGGGCGUGCAGGAGAAGCUGUAGGUCGGGAGGUAGAGGUGGCAGUGGGCGUGCAGGAGAAGCUGUAGGUCAGGGGGUAGAGGUGGCAGUGGGCGUGCAGGAGAAGCUGUAGGUC